UUAUUUGGAAGUAAAAAGUGUAACAAGGUCUCCGUAGGUGAACCUGCGGAGGGAUCAUUACACAAAUAUGAAGGCGGGCUGGAACCUCUCGGGGUUACAGCCUUGCUGAAUUAUUCACCCUUGUCUUUUGCGUACUUCUUGUUUCCUUGGUGGGUUCGCCCACCACUAGGACAAACAUAAACCUUUUGUAAUUGCAAUCAGCGUCAGUAACAAAUUAAUAAUUACAACUUUCAACAACGGAUCUCUUGGUUCUGGCAUCGAUGAAGAACGCAGCGAAAUGCGAUAAGUAGUGUGAAUUGCAGAAUUCAGUGAAUCAUCGAAUCUUUGAACGCACAUUGCGCCCUUUGGUAUUCCAAAGGGCAUGCCUGUUCGAGCGUCAUUUGUACCCUCAAGCUUUGCUUGGUGUUGGGCGUCUUGUCUCUAGCUUUGCUGGAGACUCGCCUUAAAGUAAUUGGCAGCCGGCCUACUGGUUUCGGAGCGCAGCACAAGUCGCACUCUCUAUCAGCAAAGGUCUAGCAUCCAUUAAGCCUUUUUUUCAACUUUGACCUCGGAUCAGGUAGGGAUCCCCGAC
rnacentral:rRNA from 1 species